UACGUAGGGGGCGAGCGUUGUCCGGAUUUAUUGGGCGUAAAGAGCUCGUAGGCGGUUUGGUAAGUCGGGUGUGAAAUCUCCACGCUCAACGUGGAGGGGCCACUCGAUACUGCCAUGACUCGAGUCCGGUAGAGGAGUGUGGAAUUCCCGGUGUAGCGGUGAAAUGCGCAGAUAUCGGAAGGAACGCCGGUGGCGAAAGCGAUCGACUGGACCUUUUCUGACGCUGAGGCGCGAAAGCCAGGGGAGCAAACGGG
rnacentral:rRNA from 1 species